rnacentral:lncRNA from 10 species
UUUCCAGCAACCUAGAUAAUGAAACCACAGAGCAGCCUUCCCCUGCGGUGACCUAGUUCUUAAUUCCUGUAGUUUCAACACUCAUCACAGCAGAAUUCUGAUGAGGCUGGGCUCUUUCGCAGCUGGCAUUUGAUGAGAAAAGGGAAUUGAAAUGUAGGUGAUUGAUUUGGACCUGGAGAAGCUGAUUGGAUGUCACCCUGUUCUUCCCGACAAUGGGGACCGGUCUGUGCAAAGGGGACUUCCUGUGACCCCUGCGGGUCCACCGGAAGUUCUGAUUUCUCCCCGUGGAAUAGGGGCGCGAAGGCUGCCCUGUCACACACGGCCCAAGAGAUUGAUUACCUGGGCUCUGGCAGCCUCUCUGGCAGAAGUGGGGGAUGACUGCUGGCCAGCCCUGAGGACUCUCCCUCUCCACUCUCCUCACAGUCAUGAGGCUGGACCAUAGCUGCCUUCAGCGACCCCGAUGUCCAGGUGCACCUGCUGAGUGGAAAAGUCAAUAAACAGUUGCAAAUACAAAUUGACUCAAUGAGGGAAUGAUAAACUUGAGAGGAGGCUAACAUUAGCAUCAUCCUCACCAUCACCAUCAUCACCGUCACUAUCACUAUCACUGUCACCAUCAUCAUCACCAUCACCAUCAUUAUCACCAUCACCAUCAUCAUCACAACAUAAUGAACAGCUGGGUGUUCACCUGGAAGCUCAGAGCCUGGUGUGGCCUGGGCCCUCCCUUUGCAGCUGGUUCCCUCCUUCUGGACUUUUAAGUGCCUGGAAACUGCCAGGUUUGCACUGGACUGUACCCCUUUCGGGAAACCACUGCUGUCACUGUUAGGUGACCUGGCUGGAAAGGAGGAUGUCUGGGUGACAGGGCUUGUGGGCCAUCCUGGCUAUAGGAGUACGUACCAUUGCAGAAUCAUCCCACACUGGCACCAUCAGGGCCAUGCAGGCAAGAACAACAUAGCAUGAGGCCAAAUGCAAAUUGUUUUAAAACACACAAAUGAGCUUGGUUCAGGUGGUGCCAAAGAAUUCUCUAUUUCAGCAGAG